UACAGAGGGUGCAAGCGUUGCUCGGAUUUACUGGGCGUAAAGCGUACGCAGACGGCAAGGUAGGUCGAAUGUGAAAGCCCCGGGCUCAACCCGGGAAUUGCAUCCGAAACCCCCUUGCUCGAGUAUGGGAGAGGGAAGCGGAAUUCCUGGUGUAGAGGUGAAAUUCGUAGAUAUCAGGAGGAACAUCAGCGGCGAAGGCGGCUUCCUGGCCCAUUACUGACGUUCAGGUACGAAAGCGUGGGUAGCAAACAGG
rnacentral:rRNA from 1 species